AUUGAACGCUAGCGGGAUGCCUUACACAUGCAAGUCGAACGAGUGGCGAACGGGUGAGUAAUGUAUCGGAACGUGCCCAGUAGCGGGGGAUAACUACGCGAAACGUAGCUAAUACCGCAUACUAUUGGAGCGGCCGAUAUCGGAUUAGCUAGUUGGUGGGGUAACGGCUCACCAAGGCGACGAUCCGUAGCUGGUUUGAGAGGACGACCAGCCACACUGGGACUGAGACACGGCCCAGACUCCUACGGGAGGCAGCAGUGGGGAAUUUUGGACAAUGGGGGAAACCCUGAUCCAGCCAUCCCGCGUGUGCGAUGAAGGCCUUCGGGUUGUAAAGCACUUUUGGCAGGAAAGCGGUACCUGCAGAAUAAGCACCGGCUAACUACGUGCCAGCAGCCGCGGUAAUACGUAGGGUGCAAGCGUUAAUCGGAAUUACUGGGCGUAAAGCGUGCGCAGGCGGUUCGGAAAGAAAGAUGUGAAAUCCCAGAGCUUAACUUUGGACUGCAUUUUUAACUACCGGGCUAGAGUGUGUCAGA
rnacentral:rRNA from 1 species